rnacentral:rRNA from 1 species
CUUAACACAUGCAAGUCGAGCGGUAAGGCCUUUCGGGGUACACGAGCGGCGAACGGGUGAGUAACACGUGGGUGAUCUGCCCUGCACUUCGGGAUAAGCCUGGGAAACUGGGUCUAAUACCGGAUAUGACUUCAGGUCGCAUGACUUGGGGUGGAAAGAUUUAUCGGUGCAGGAUGGGCCCGCGGCCUAUCAGCUUGUUGGUGGGGUAAUGGCCUACCAAGGCGACGACGGGUAGCCGACCUGAGAGGGUGACCGGCCACACUGGGACUGAGACACGGCCCAGACUCCUACGGGAGGCAGCAGUGGGGAAUAUUGCACAAUGGGCGAAAGCCUGAUGCAGCGACGCCGCG